rnacentral:rRNA from 1 species
UACAGAGGGUGCGAGCGUUGUCCGGAAUCACUGGGCGUAAAGGGCGCGUAGGUGGCGACCCAAGUCGAUGGUGAAAGCUCGCCGCUCAACGGCGAGUCGGCCACUGAUACUGGGUUGCUGGAGCACUGUAGAGGCAGAUGGAAUUCCGGGUGUAGCGGUGGAAUGCGUAGAGAUCCGGAAGAACACCGGUGGCGAAGGCGGUCUGCUGGGCAGUUGCUGACACUGAGGCGCGACAGCGUGGGGGAGCAAACAGG